CCCAAAACGAAGCAGCGCUAUCUGGGCGGCACUAGGACCCCGGGGGCUCCAGGUUAGCUCUCCCCGCUGGCGGGUGGUGGCGCGGGUUUAAGGUCCAGCAGCAGCGGGAAGCAAGGGGAGGGCGGGGGGGGCGAGGAGGGUGGGCGGGUAACGAUGGUCGCGGCUGCCCUGCUCCGCCCCCGGGACCGCGCGGACCUAGGCGGGCGAGCGGGGAGUGGGAGUCGGGCGGCGCCCCCCCCACCCCUCCGCCCGGCUCAGCGCCGCCGCUUCCCGCAGCGCACUCUCCUGCCGCGGGGACGCUGAGGGCGCCGGCUGUCUCCCGGGGCGCGGCGCCUGGUGGACAGACACAUCGUAAACGGGAGAGGAGAGCGCGCGCUUCCGCGGGGACGGGGAAAGACACGCCGGUGACCGAGCUGAGGCUGCGGCCACGCCGGAAAAGGGCUGAAGCGGGUCAGGAAGCGGACACGGGCCGAGCGCUGGCAGCUCAGACGGGAGGCCGGGCGGGGGCGUGGCCACGCGCGCCAGGCUGAGCGUGUGGGCGGGGCUCACCGGCGCGGGGGCGUGGGGCGGGAAGGGGGCGCUGGGGCUGGGGUUGAGGGGCGGGGGAGAGCGAGGGCAGGAGCAGAAGGGGCUGAGCCCCAGAGGAGAGAAGGCGAGGUCGGCGGGGACACGCAGGCCAGCACCUGGUUGGCCGUGGCGGCGUGGGGAGCCCAGGAGGCGGGGUGCAGCCGUGGCCCGUGGGACGGAGAGGUGCCGACGGAGCCUCCCAGCACAGCACCGCCUCUGGGCGGUGUAGGAAGAAACGCUGGUGGGGAAGAUGGGUCUGAGAUGUCUGAGGGACAGCAGGUGGCCGGUUGCUAUAAAUGUCUGGAGGCCACGAGAAGGCGCUGAGAUCAUUUAGGAGAGCGGAUCCCGGGAGACGAGAGCAAAGGACUGCACCUCAGGAACCUGGACAGUUGUGAUGUUGGCCAACAGAGAAAGAUCCUGGGAAGGAAACCUGAAAGUGAAGAGCAGGUAUUAGGAGAAAUGGACAGAGAAGUGUUCCGGAAACUGAGGUUAAGAAGGUGACCUAAACCAAUGGUAGCAAUGACUUCGGAAGAUGAAGGAAAGGCAGGUUGAAGUGUGGGUUUGGAAAUCAGGGAGACAUGGGGAGAGCAGGCUGGCUCCAGGACGGGGAGCAGGAGCAGGAGCAGGACGGGCUGAGAAGUAAGGGGGAUGAGGAUGAGUGUGGAGCCUAAGAUCCUUGGGGGCUGAGAUGGCAUUUGACCUGUCUUGAUUUCCCAUCGCUGGUAGAGAUUAGUGUUUGAGCUGAAUUGUGCUGUUCUUUUAGGAAGUCUGAGUAUAAAGGGAGGAGAGCUGAGCUGUGCGCUGAGUCAAGAAGACUGUUCAAGGCUUCUUUCUGUCAACUUGUACAGAGGAGGAGAUUGGGUACACCAACUUGAGGAGACCAGAGACAAUAGCAGUGAGGGGUGGAGGAGUGAGCUGUGAACAAAAACAAGGACUCUUGUCACAGAGACAAAGGAAAAGAUGAAGGGUGGGAGAAGGGAGAGGAUGUGUGUGACAGCUUUUGUUUCCUCUUUUCUUGGGAAAGUGGAAGGCAAGGUCGUCUGCUAAGAAUGAGAUGGUGGACAAAUUGGAUAGGAAUUAAGAGAGUAAUAUUGUUUCAAAGGCAAGUUGCUGGGGUAAUUAGGUGAGAGAAAUGCCCAAAGACAAGUCAUAGGAAUGGUAAAUUGUUGGGGGCCUUUUACAAGAUUUUGUAGGGUCACAGAUCUGCUAAAUGGCAUCAUUUUCUCUAGCAGUGAUCAGCUGCUGGAUAGCAGAGAGUGCUGGAUGCCAGCCCAAGGAGUCUGGGUUUAUCUUCUAGGCCACCAGGUCCCAAGUCCUGCUCACCAGAAUCUCCUAGAAAUCUUCCCUAAAGCACAGAUUCCGCAGAAUCACUGCCCAGAGAUUCAGAUCCUAAGUGGGUGUUGAGGUCUGGAAAUCUGUAUUUUUAAUUAGCUCCCUACUGAUUCCCAUGUAGCCAGGUAAGAGUUGGCAGAUCCUGAAGACUUUUUCCAUCUUAUUGAGGUAUAAUUGACAAAUAGGAAUUAUAUAUAUUAAUUAUAUAUAUUUAAGGUGUUCAACUUGAUGUUUUGAUAUAUGUAUACAUUGUGAAAUGAUCGCACAAUCAAGCUAAUUAACAUAUCCAUCACUCCACAGGAUAGCCAGAGUCUUUGUGUGUGUGUAUGUUGAGAACACUUGAGAUCUACCCUCAAGAAAUUUCAAGUAUGCAAUACAGCAUUGUUAACUAUAUCACCACACUAUCUUUGUAUGUGUUUCCAAACCAUUGUCUGUGUACUUAGCAGCCACCAGGAAUCUAGAACGUGACAAGUCCUGUCAGUGCCCCGAGACAGGGACAAUCUGGGAGCUGGAGUUUAUCACCCACUCAUUCUGCACUGAGCCGAGGAGAAGAGCUGUGACAAAUAUCUGCAUUCUUAUUCAGACCACAUACUUUUAAACCAUUGCUUUGCUCUCUGUAGUUCCCAGGGGCCUAGUGAAUGUCAAUCCCUGUCAGCUCUCAGA